GGUUGUCCAGAAGCAGCGUGGGAAUCUGAAGCCCUUGCAGGGUGGGAAAUGCAAGGAUCCAGGUUUGCGUGAACGAAAUCCAUCUAAGUCAUGUCCUGGAAUCCACUGUCUCUAAUUCCAAAUAUAUCCAUGCAGGGUGUAGUUAUUCAGUUGGAGAGAAAAGGUUGGUGCUACCGUCUCCCACCUCACAACUCUUAAAGCAGCAGCAUGCUGCAGGCAAGAGCAGCAGAGGACAAGAGAGGGAGGCAGUAGGCACACAAAAUGGAGGCAGACACAACAUGGCUGACUGAGAAAUGUAAGAUUGAACUUGUGAGAACUAUUGACUCACACUAGCUCAUGAAUACAGACUUACAUGCAGGCUGUGAUCCUUAAAGGCCAAAUCAAUGAACUCCACUCAUGUAGUUCUUCUGAAACUGAGGAGGCUACAACAGUGUGGUGCUUAAAUCACCCCCUAAGAAGACGUGCAUCAACUGGAGGAAGAAAAAAAAGGGAUGCUGUUUAAGGAUGCAGCCAACAUUCUGCACUCCAUUCUGUGUAAUACUUCUUUCUAAGUCCCUCUGAGAACUUUGUCGCCUCGGGCUGCGUCACGGAUGGAGAGGCACCCAGUCACAACAGCCUCCAUUUCUUUUGCUAAGAAAUAUACAGGAGAAAGAGGAAGCUUUCUAAGAAUCAGAGUCAGGCCGGCUCCUUUGCACACAUUACUGCCUCUGCAAGAGGUAUUUAACACACAUCACACUUGCAGCAUGUGAUAAUAUCACAGUAAUAUUAUUUUUAUCACAACUGUCUAGAGCAGGAGUUUCCAGAUAUUGUGGGGCUACAGUUUCCAUCUUCUGUAGUCUUUGUCCAGUGUAAUGGAGGAUGAUGGGAGUUAUAGUCCAAUAAUAUCGGGAGAGCCAAGGUUGGGAACCCCUGCUGUUGGGAAGUAAGUUUUAUUAUCAAAUAACAUCAUCAAAUGUUAUUUGAUAACAAUACUUAAUCUGCUUGCAGGGUUUUUAAAAUCAGGAUUACAAGAUAAUUCACGUGAAGUGCUUUCGACACUCAGAGGUUCCAUACAAAUGCUAAACAUUAAGGCAGUUCAAGGAACUUCACAUGAUUGAAAACUGGGUAGGACAAGUGUCCUACUCACCUUCAGGAACUCCCGAUUUUCUAUUGUGUGUGAGAAAACAACUAUGUAGCAGGAGGGAGGAGUGAUUGUGAGGCUGUCCACAUGAGCAAUGUGGAGAGCCGAGGAGGGAUCUGUGGGGAGAGCAGGCUUGACCCACUGUCCCCACAGACAAUCAUAUAGUGAGCCCUCGGCAGCCAGAUCGGCCACCCACACGAUUACUGGCUCCAUCAUGGAGCCGUUAGGGGUGGUGGGGAUCGGGGGCCACCUGGUCCCCGGAAGUCCCAGGAUGCUCGGGGCAUUCUGGGGGGACCCCCAAGGCUGGAAGGCUUGUUGUAAGAGCUGGGUACAUAUGAAUAAAGGAGACUGCCUUAUACUGAGUCACACUAUUGGUCCAUCUAGCUCAGUAUUGUCUACCUGGCAGUGGCUUCUCCACUUCAGACUGGCAGUGGCUUCUCCAAGGCUGCAGGCAGGAGUCUCUCCCAGCCCUUUCUGGAAAUGCCAGGAACCUGGAACCUUUUGCAUGGAAGCAUGCAGAUGCUCUUCCCUGAGCGGCCCCAUCUCCUAAGGGGAAUAUCUUACAGUGCUCAUCUGUAGCCUGCUUGUGUGGAUCAUGCUUAGCAAAGGGGGCAACUGAUGCUUGCUACAACAAGACCAGCUCUUCAUCAAUACCAUCCUACCCAGCUCCUCUCACACAAACAAUCAUUCUCCCCUCCUCCUGCCUAAGUGUUUGCUCACACACAGUCAAACACUGGGAGCACAUACAGCUUCCAAAGCUGGGUACCUUCUUAACAAUCGUGUGGACUGCCUUAUUAUGUCAUGGUUAGAAUGAUCUCAAAGGUUAGGAGUUCUACAAUACUGAGCAAGCUUGGCGCAUCAGAUAUCAAAGAAAAUAUUAACAGUUGGUUUGACUCUAAGUGUUUUAAUAUAUUGGUGCAAAGUCAAAUCAGUGUGAGAAAUGAAUUCUGAAACAAUGAACAUUGAUAGGAACAUAGGAAGCUGCCAUAUACUGAGUCAGACGGUUGGUCCGUCCAGCUCAGUAUUGUUUACACUCCCUGGCAGUGGCUUCUCCAAGGUUGAAGGCAGGAAUCUCUCUCAGCCCUAUCUUGGAUCCUCCUCAGUUAAGCAGCUAAGGAAAACAAUUUAUGGAGAGAUCCUAGAAGUGGGGUUUUUAAAACCUGAUUUAGAAUGUAAACGCUACAAACACCGCACUUCACAGUACUUGUUGUAACCCGAUCAUCCUAUCGCUCUCUUUAAGGAGAAAAACGUCCCUUUCCAUUUAAGGGAAACGAGGUGGCGUUUAUACCACCAAGUACUACCGCUUAAUGCGGCUAAGCCAUGGCUCCCAGAGGACAAGCAAGAGUGUCCUAAAAUCACCUGCAAACAGAAAGCUAGUGAGCUAGGCAAAACAUUCAGGGAAACUCAUUCACAUUUCUUAAGAGUAUGUGGUAGCCAAAAGAGUGAGACAGGGAGUAAGCAAGUUGUUAGAGUGGCCUGAUUUGGAAAAACAGACUUGGGAAGAACUAUCCUCGGGUUUGAGCGAUAGAACCUCUUUUCGAGGUCCCAGAAAGAAACCUUCAAGGAAACGAGAUGGAACAGGUGCCCUCAUACUAGGGAAUUGGAACGUUCUCCUUCUCGUAAUCAGGUUAGUAAACCUGUAUAUCAUUUAUGCAAUGCUCCUGCAUAGGAAUAGGGAGGGAAGAGGUUCACGUGGAAGAGACAGUAAAUCUCUUCUGGAAAAGUUUGUAUGGUUAUGUGCAAAAAGACAAGUGUAUCUGUUCUUAACAGCAAUGGGACAAAUUAUGGAAAUGGACGUUGGAUGUAACCCCCUCCCCCCCCCGAUUACCUGAUGUGCCUUGUAAUCCCCCAUCCCCGAGUUACAGUACUGCCUGCAUAUACUUUAUAACCCUGUGGAUUUCCAAAUCCUUGUGUGUAAAUCUUUGUAGAUAUAUGAUGUACAAACAACCACUUUGUAUAUAAUUGUGCUUUGGCAACGUACUGUAUGCUUUGGUAGUUUGUUGGUUCAAUUAAAAAAAAUU